GAUGAACGCUGGCGGCGUGCCUAAUACAUGCAAGUCGGGCGAACAGACGAGGAGCUUGCUCCUCUGACGUUAGCGGCGGACGGGUGAGUAACACGUGGAUAACCUACCUAUAAGACUGGGAUAACUUCGGGAAACCGGAGCUAAUACCGGAUAAUAUAUUGAACCGCAUGGUUCAAUAGUGAAAGACGGUUUUGCUGUCACUUAUAGAUGGAUCCGCGCCGCAUUAGCUAGUUGGUAAGGUAACGGCUUACCAAGGCAACGAUGCGUAGCCGACCUGAGAGGGUGAUCGGCCACACUGGAACUGAGACACGGUCCAGACCCCUACGGGAGGCAGCAGUAGGGAAUCUUCCGCAAUGGGCGAAAGCUUGACGGAGCAACGCCGCGUGAGUGAUGAAGGUCUUCGGAUCGUAAAACUCUGUUAUUAGGGAAGAACAAAUGUGUAAGUAACUAUGCACGUCUUGACGGUACCUAAUCAGAAAGCCACGGCUAACUACGUG
rnacentral:rRNA from 1 species